GGCCCGCGCUCCUACCUGUAGGUGGCCAACGCCGGGCGCUGGGCCGCCGCUCCUGCCUUGCACGUUAGAGAGCCGGUACAUGCAGGUGGGAAGCUCCACACGGAGAGGCGCGCCGCGCCCGUGAUAAGGUUUUACCUGGUACAUCGGCAUGGCGGAACCAAAGCAAGAGAGGGUGGCGCGUGCCAAACACCAACGCUCAGAAACCGUCCGAGGCUACGACUGGGGGCGGACAUCUCCCUUGUGACCCUGCUGCGGUCGUUCGGGAAAAAAAAAAAAAGCAGUCCGGUGUGCUCUGAUUGGCCCAUGCUCUUUGACGUCACGGACUCGACCUUUGACGGAGCUAAUAGGCGAAAAGGAGAGACGGGAAGUAUUUUUUCCGCCCCGCCCAGAAAGGGUGGAGCACAACGUCAAAAGCAGCCAAUGGGAGCCCAGGAGGCGGGGCGCCUGUGGGAGUCGUGGAGGGAACUUUCCCAGGCCCCGAGGCGGAUCGGGUAUUGAGUCCAUGGAGCGAGCUGAGAGCUAGAGUACAGAACCUGCUAAGGCCAUCAAACCUAUCGAUCGGAAGUCAGUCCAUCAGAUUUGCUCUGGGCCGGUGGUACUGAGUCUAAGCACUGCGGUGAAGGAGUUAGUAGAAAACAGUCUGGAUGCUGGUGCCACCAAUAUUGAUCUAAAGCUUAAGGACUAUGGAGUGGAUCUCAUUGAAGUUUCAGACAAUGGAUGUGGGGUAGAAGAAGAAAACUUUGAAGGCUUAACGAUGUCACCAUUUCUACCUGCCACGCAUCGGCGAAGGUUGGGACUCGACUGGUGUUUGAUCACGAUGGGAAAAUCAUCCAGAAAACCCCCUACCCCCACCCCAGAGGGACCACAGUCAGCGUGAAGCAGUUAUUUUCUACACUACCUGUGCACCAUAAGGAAUUUCAAAGGAAUAUUAAGAAGACAGAGUCUUCUCACUCUGUCGCCCAGGCUGGAGUGCAGUGGUGUGAUCUUGGCUCACUGCAACCUCUACCUCCUGGGUUCAAGUGAUUCUCCUGCCUCAGUCUCCCAAGUAGCUGGGAUUAUAGACGUGCCUGUUUCCCCUUCGCCUUCUGCCGUGAUUGUCAGUUUCCUGAGGCCUCCCCAGCCAUGCUUCCUGUACAGCCUGCAGAACUGUGAG
rnacentral:lncRNA from 1 species